rnacentral:rRNA from 1 species
AUUGAACGCUGGCGGCAGGCCUAACACAUGCAAGUCGAGCGGAGCGGCGGACGGGUGUGUAAUGUAUGGUGCUCUCCCCGAUAGUGGGGGAUACCUUCUGGACACGGUGGCUAAUACCGCAUACUAUCGUAUGCACCCAUAUGGGAUUAGCUAGUAGGUGGGGUAAAGGCUCACCUAGGCGACGAUCUCUAGCUGGUCUGAGAGGAUGAUGAGGGACACUGGGACGGAGACACGGACAAGACUCCGACGGGAGGCAGAAGGGGGGAAUAUUGCACAAGGGGGGAAAGCCUGAUGCAGCCAUGCCGCGUGUGUGAAGAAGGUGGUCGGAGUGUAAAGAACUGGAAGUUGGGAGGCGUUACCAACAGAAUAAGCAACGGCGAACUACGUGCCAGCAGCCGCGGUAAUAC